rnacentral:rRNA from 1 species
UACGUAGGCAGCGAGCGUUGUUCGGAGUUACUGGGCGUAAAGAGUGCGUAGGGGGUUUUUUAAGUUUGUGGUGAAAUCUCCCGGCUUAACUGGGAGGGUGCGUCGAAGACUGGAAGGCUUGAGUAUGGGAGAGGUAAGCGGAAUUCCUGGUGUAGCGGUGAAAUGCGUAGAUAUCUGGAGGAACACCGGUGGCGAAGGCGGCAUCCUGGACCGAUACUGACGCUGAGGAGCGAAAGCCAGGGGAGCAAACGGG